ensembl:snRNA U6 U6 spliceosomal RNA
UUGUUCACUUUGGUAACAUAUAUACUAAAAUUUGAAUGAUACAGAGAAGGAUAGCAGAGUCCCUGCGAAAGGAUGACACACAAAUUGGUUAAGUGGUCCAUAUUUUU